rnacentral:lncRNA from 1 species
CUCUAGUUAAAAUAUGAAUUUGAUUUUAGUACGAUUCAUCUGUCAAACAAUAAUAUAUGACUAAAUUGCUAGAUAGAUGAUCAUAAUCUAUUGAUAGAUAUCUUACAAUUUAUUAUCAUAUUGAACGUAACCUCUAAGUAGGAUCGGAUCUACUUUUAUGUGAAUUCUAAUCAAUUUGAGGCAUAAUAUCUUCAUCUUUCAUUUCACGUAUGCUUAAUUGAUAGCAAGAACAUGUUCCGAAGCAACCCCAUUCUGCACAUGCCUCCAUCAGCUUCGAUAGUUGCCCAGGAAAAUCUGUUGGUGUUUAUCUGUGAUUAACUUCGACUAUAAAUAUAAAUGUUAGAUGGUUGGCAAAAUAAUUAUAGUUGCAAUUUGGUCAGGUGAUUCGUGUAAAUAGAACAAAAAGCUAUCUAAAUGUUAAUUACCUGAAGUUGAGAUUCAAGAUAUUCAAGGAUAGUAGCCCCCAUUUAGCUUCCUUUUUCUUUAAUUUUUUUUCUUUUCACUAUUAUUUUUAACUACACAAUCUUCCAUAAAAA